GUGCCAGCAGCCGCGGUAAUACGAAGGGGGCUAGCGUUGCUCGGAAUUACUGGGCGUAAAGGGAGCGUAGGCGGACAGUUUAGUCAGAGGUGAAAGCCCAGGGCUCAACCCUGGAAUUGCCUUUGAUACUGAUUGUCUUGAGUAUGGGAGAGGUGAGUGGAACUCCGAGUGUAGAGGUGAAAUUCGUAGAUAUUCGGAAGAACACCAGUGGCGAAGGCGACUCACUGGCCCAUUACUGACGCUGAGGCUCGAAAGCGUGGGGAGCAAACAGGAUUAGAUACCCUGGUAGUCC
rnacentral:rRNA from 1 species